rnacentral:rRNA from 1 species
ACGAACGCUGGCGGCGUGCUUAACACAUGCAAGUCGAACGGAAAGGCCCUGCUUUUGUGGGGUGCUCGAGUGGCGAACGGGUGAGUAACACGUGAGUCACCUGCCCUUGACUUUGGGAUAACUUCAGGAAACUGGGGCUAAUACCGGAUAGGAGCUCCUGCUGCAUGGUGGGGGUUGGAAAGUUUCGGCGGUUGGGGAUGGACUCGCGGCUUAUCAGCUUGUUGGUGGGGGAGUGGCUUACCAAGGCUUUGACGGGUAGCCGGCCUGAGAGGGUGACCGGCCACAUUGGGACUGAGAUACGGCCCAGACUCCUACGGGAGGCAGCAGUGGGGAAUAUUGCACAAUGGGCGGAAGCCUGAUGCAGCAACGCCGCGUGCGGGAUGACGGCCUUCGGGUUGUAAACCGCUUUCGCCUGUGACGAAGCGUGAGUGACGGUAAUGGGUAAAGAAGCACCGGCUAACUACGUG